rnacentral:lncRNA from 1 species
AGGUCGUGAAGAAUUGAGACUAAGUUCAUAGAUGGCUGAAGUGUUUGCAGGUCAUUUGUGUGCAAUCAUCUUCAGGACAAAGAGCCGGAACUUAUGUUGGUGGCUAUGUCUCAGACACGAAACCAAUGUUCCAGAAACACUUGAGCCGGGGGUCAGUUUUGGUUGCCGGACCAUGGUUCUCACCACGGUGAGGACAGUGACAAGGGACCACCACCAGGGAGGGAGCAUCAAAGUCAGAAGGGUGCAGGUCCUCCGUCCAGACUGAAGACUUUCUGAGGUAUGUGGAGGGGGGAAACAGAGCCUAACAGAGUGGGGUGGCCUUCCGGAGGCCAGAGAGCCCUGUGGGGGCAGAACUGGCACGAGAUCUGGUUCCCUGGCAGGAGGCCCAGGCUCUCACCCCUGCUUGACCCGGAAGGCAGGGCUGCAAGCCUGGUUAGUUGGAAGGACGAGCCAGAAGCAAGUGCUUCUUGCCGUUUCCACCCACAUCCGAGCUGGCCUUGGCCCCUUCCAGGGUUCUGGGGCCUCCUGCCCUGAUUUAAAACUCCUCUUCCCAGGGUUUCCACAGAUCCUGACUUAACACCUUUCUGUUUUUUUUUUUUUUUUUUAAGAUUUUUUUUUGUAAUCUCUUUUUAUUUUUGAGAGAGACAGAGAUAGAGCGCAAGCGGGGGAGGGGCAGAGAGAGAGGGAGUCACAGAAUCCAAAGCAGGCUCCAGGCUCCGAGCUGUCAGCGCAGAGCCCGACGCGGGGCUUGAACUCACGGACUGAGAGAUCAUGACCUGAGCCCAAGCCGGAUGCUUAACUGACUGAGCCACCCAGGCGCCCCAACACCCUUCUGUUUAUGGCCUCAGGCUGCUUUCUCUUUGGCUGGUCUGGAGACCCGGCUCCACACAGACACCUCACCCCAACUGCAGACACAGUGAGAAUCACCCCAGCCCACAAAAACAGGCAGUUUGAAAAGCGCACACGUGACUGUGAUCUAGCCAAGAGAAUUAAACUGGAAAAAACCUGUUCGUGUAGAAGGAGCAUGGUGAGGUCCAUUGGUAAUAAACUAAUAAAACAUUCUGUAAAUAUUCCAGACCACGAGGUGGUCUGCGGCCGCUCACAGGAAGCUACGGGACCGGUAGAUUUAAUA